CAGGAUCCAUUUCGUGUGGUCAUCUUGUCUCCCUGGUCCCCUCCAGCCUUUCCUCAUCUUUUGUGACCUGGUCACUCUGGAAGGGCGCUGGCCAGUUAGUCCACAGGAUGGGCCUCCCCUGGGGCUUUUCUGAUGCUUCCUUAUGAUGGCACUGGCAUCCUGAGGGGGAGGACCACAGAGAGGAGGUGCUCCUCAUCACACCACAUGGGGGUCCAUGCACCAGUGCCACUGCUUUCCAGGGCUCUUCACCUUCAUCACUGGUGGAGGUGGCGUCUGCCAAGAAGCAGAAAGUUGAGGCUUAGAAGGUGCACGGCCCUACCUCUUCCGAGGUGCCCCUGCGGGCUGUCUACAGACCAGGCAGCACAUGCCUGAUAGCAGCUGCAUAAGGAAAAGCAGGAGCCAGCUCGUGCACAGUGGCCUCAAGUGUGCACUGGGCAUGUUCUCUGCCUCACCAUCCCUGUGUGACAGAUGAAGCAUGGCAAGCCAGGCUCCAGAGAAGCAUCCUGAGGACCAGUGUUCCUAGGGACCUCAUUCUUCUGACCUCAUUCCUACAACGUUUUGUCACUGCAAAGGAAAUCACCAAGGCCAGCAUGACAGCCCUCAACAGAAGCCAAGGCCAAGUCCUCGAACUUCCUAGUCUGCACAAUGUCUGUCUUUCAGACACUUCUGAUGAAACUGAAAAUGCCACCAGGGAGAAGCAGCUGAACUUCAAGGACCACAGAGGGCCAAGUGCAGGAGUAAGAGGCUGGCGUGCUGACAGUGGCCAAGGGCAUUGGAGGGAAGGACCUGUCAUCACUGGGCCAAGGAAGGAACUCCAGACUGCCUACUUCCAGAGGGCCUGCUGAGAACCCCAAAGAGCUCUCUCAACAAACACACCCACGAGUUCCAGGAGUGAGGCUGCAGGGAACAGCCUCACUCUCAGAGGGGAUACAGAAUUGUUCCACUGGACAAGGGCUGGGAUCGUCAUAGGAUGCCGUUGGCCUGUGGUUUCCAACAGAGGUGCAGUUCAUUGAACUGUGGUCUACAGUCCAUUCUCUAACUUGGGGACCCUUGAAGAAGUGUGGAAUCAUGACAACAACCCUGUUGGGAGACACUAUUAUUCCCAUCACAUGGAUGAGCACACGGAGGCAAAAGGAAGUUAUAUGAUUGUCUGAGAUCACCCAGUGAAGACUGUGUGGCUGGGAGUUGUCCCCAGUGUUAUCUGCACGCUGCUUCCUUUUGAUGCCUGGCCCUUCUUUAUCAAAAGAAGCAUUGGCAGAAUCUGGGUGUUUAUGGGUCAGCUCAAAAUAAAUUACUUUAUAUG
rnacentral:lncRNA from 1 species